GCUAUGUCUGCGUGGAGUUUUCACUCUUGGAAGAUGCCAUCGGAUGCAUGGAGGCCAACCAGGGAACUCUAAUGAUCCAGGACAAAGAAGUUACCCUGGAGUAUGUACCAAGCCUGGAUUUUUGGUACUGCAAACGAUGUAAGGCAAGCAUUGGUGGGCACCGAUCUUCCUGUUCAUUCUGCAAGAACCCAAGAGAAGUGACAGAGGCCAAGCAAGAAUUAAUAACCUACCCUCAACCUCAGAAAACAUCCAUACCAGCACCAUUGGAAAAACAGCCCAACCAGCCCCUAAGACCAGCUGAUAAGGAACCUGAACUCAGGAAGAGGGAAGAAGGACAGGAGUCACGCUUAGGACAUCAAAAGAGAGAAGCAGAAAGGUAUCUGCCUCCUUCUCGAAGGGAAGGGCCAACUUUCCGAAGAGACCGAGAGAAGGAGUCAUGGUCUGGAGAGACACGCCAGGAUGGAGAGAGCAAAACCAUCAUGCUAAAGCGUAUCUAUCGUUCCACACCACCUGAGGUGAUAGUGGAAGUGCUGGAGCCCUAUGUCCGCCUUACUACUGCCAACGUCCGUAUCAUCAAGAACAGAACAGGCCCUAUGGGGCAUACCUAUGGCUUUAUUGACCUCGACUCCCAUGCGGUGAGUUUCCUCCACCUUGGAUUGGCCUAGGGACAGAUAGCUAAAGAACCUUCAAGAAGGUUUGACGGGGGGCCAGGCGUGGUGGCUUACGCCUGUAAUCCCAGCACUUUGAGAGGCCGAGGUGGGUGGAUCACGAGGUCAGGAGAUCAAGACCAUCCUGGCUAACACAGUGAAACCCUGUCUCUACUAAAAAAUACAGAAAAAUUAACUGGGCGUGGUGGCAGGUGCCUGUAGUCCCAGCUACUCAGGAGGCUGAGGCAGGAGAAUGGCGUGAACCCGGGAGGCGGAGCUUGCAGUGAGCCGAGAUCACGCCACUGCACUUCAGCCUGGGUGACAGAGCGAGACUCCGUCUC
rnacentral:sRNA from 1 species